rnacentral:misc_RNA from 1 species
GAUGAAGAACGUAGUGAAAUGCGAUAAGUAAUGUGAAUUGCAGAAUUCAGUGAAUCAUCGAAUCUUUGAACGCACAUUGCGCCCAUUAGUAUUCUAGUGGGCAUGCCUGUUCGAGCGUCAUUAAGUCCACUUAAGCCCUGCUUAGUGUUGGGAGACUGCUCCAGCGGUGCUACCCUGUAGCUACCCUGCAGCUCCUCAAAGACAGCGGCGGAGUUGUGGUAUCCUCUGAGCUUAGUAACUUGUUCUAGCUUUCGAGUACACCACUUCCCCUGCCGUAAAACCCUUAAUUUUUAAUGGUUGACCUCGGAUCAGGUAGGAAUACCCGCUGAACUUAAGCAUAUCAAUAAGCGGAGUA